GCUACGGGUGGCAGCAGUGGGGAAUAUUGGGCAAUGGGCGCAAGCCUGACCCAGCAACGCCGCGUGAAGGAAGAAGGCUGUCGGGUUGGAAACUUCUUUUCUGAGGGACGAAGAAAGUGACGGUACCUCAGGAAUAAGCAACGGCUAACUACGCGCCAGCAGCCGCGGUAAGACGUAGGUGGCAAGCGUUAUCCGGAUUUAUUGGGUGUAAAGGGCGCGUAGGCGGGAAAGCAAGUCAGAUGUGAAAACUCAGGGCUCAACCCUGAGCCUUCAUUUGAAACUGUUUUUCUUGAGUGCUGGGGAGGCAAUCGGAAUUCCGUGUGUAGCGGUGAACUGCGUAGAUAUACGGAGGAACACCAGUGGCGAAGGCGGCUUGCUGGACAGUAACUGACGCUGAGGCGCGAAAGCGUGGGGAGCAAACAGGAUUAGCUACCCCAGUAGUC
rnacentral:rRNA from 1 species